rnacentral:lncRNA from 1 species
CUGAGUUGUAAAGUUUUACAGUUGUACAAUUUAUCUCGUGUACUAAAAUAAUUAGAAUACAUCAUUUUAUGGAUUGAGAUUAAACAGAGUUUAAUUAUCAAAGCAGGCUGAAUUUACUAUGAGUUUAAAUCUCCUUUCAUUUGCAGAAGGAUUCUAGAAAACAACCCGUUAGCUAAUGACAUUGAGGAAAUUGAAGAACUCUGGAUGACUACAGUAUUAAAUUUGUCUUUACUGAGAAACCUCCUGACUCGGCACUGAUUUAUCUACAGAAAAUGUCUUCCCAACUUGUCAUACGUUCUUCUGUUUUUAUAUUGAAGUUGUUUUCAGUGAAAUAUGUUUUAUAACUUGAGCUUAGCUUUCUCCAUACAGGACUUUCACUGUACAGGUCUGCCAUGGGGCUAGCUACUGCAAGAUUUACUCAAAGAGUACAAAGUCUCCAAAGACCUGGCACAGAUCUGAAUCCUAGAGAAUAUCAUUCAGAACUAGUCAUCCUCAAGUUGAUCAUUGGUCCCAUACAAAGUUCAAAACAAAAGCUGUUUGACAAGAGUAACAUUCAGGAAGAUGUAAUGAAGAAGUUAAGUGCUGAAUAUUUCUGAAAACUCUUUAGUUCCUAAGGAAGUAAAUAAUAAAAUUGAAUUUCCUUAUCAGGCACUGAAAGCUUGAAAUGAUUCCUAGUGCAUUGUCACCUGCAGUUACGGAUGUCUCUCACCAGAGAAACCAUCUACUUUCU